AUGAACGCUGGCGGCAGGCCUAACACAUGCAAGUCGAACGGUAACAGGAAGCAGCUUGCUGCUUUGCUGACGAGUGGCGGACGGGUGAGUAAUGUCUGGGAAACUGCCUGAUGGAGGGGGAUAACUACUGGAAACGGUAGCUAAUACCGCAUAACGUCGCAAGACCAAAGAGGGGGACCUUCGGGCCUCUUGCCAUCGGAUGUGCCCAGAUGGGAUUAGCUAGUAGGUGGGGUAACGGCUCACCUAGGCGACGAUCCCUAGCUGGUCUGAGAGGAUGACCAGCCACACUGGAACUGAGACACGGUCCAGACUCCUACGGGAGGCAGCAGUGGGGAAUAUUGCACAAUGGGCGCAAGCCUGAUGCAGCCAUGCCGCGUGUAUGAAGAAGGCCUUCGGGUUGUAAAGUACUUU
rnacentral:rRNA from 1 species